rnacentral:lncRNA from 1 species
UUCUUGGCAACUGGAAACUUUUUUCUUGCUUUGAAAAAAAACGAGCUGAGGGUCAUCCAGGACAACCUCUCCACUGAACAAAGGUAGGGUAAGGUCUGUGUGUACCCACCCUCCCAAGGCCCCGCAUGUGGGACUAAUACUGGGCGUUGUUGUAUUAUGACGAUAUCUUGUAGCUUUUAUUUGCUUUAGUAAUUCUCUUAUGAAGAAAA